rnacentral:rRNA from 1 species
GACGAACGCUGGCGGCGUGCUUAACACAUGCAAGUCGAACGAAGAGCGAUGGAAGCUUGCUUCUAUCAAUCUUAGUGGCGAACGGGUGAGUAACGCGUAAUCAACCUGCCCUUCAGAGGGGGACAACAGUUGGAAACGACUGCUAAUACCGCAUACGAUCUAACCUCGGCAUCGAGGAUAGAUGAAAGGUGGCCUCUACAUGUAAGCUAUCACUGAAGGAGGGGAUUGCGUCUGAUUAGCUAGUUGGAGGGGUAACGGCCCACCAAGGCGAUGAUCAGUAGCCGGUCUGAGAGGAUGAACGGCCACAUUGGGACUGAGACACGGCCCAGACUCCUACGGGAGGCAGCAGUGGGGAAUCUUCCGCAAUGGACGAAAGUCUGACGGAGCAACGCCGCGUGAGUGAUGACGGCCUUCGGGUUGUAAAGCUCUGUUAAUCGGGACGAAAGGCCUUCUUGCGAAUAGUUAGAAGGA